UACGUAGGAGGCGAGCGUUGUCCGGAGUUACUGGGCGUAAAGGGUGCGCAGGCGGUGGCCCGCGUGGGCGGUGAAAGCUCCUGGCUCAACUGGGAGAGGGCCGUCCAGACGGGGUCACUUGAGGGGCGGAGAGGGGCGUGGAAUUCCGGGUGGAGCGGUGAAAUGCGUAGAGACCCGGAGGAACACCAGUGGCGAAGGCGGCUUCCGGGUCUGCAACUGACGCUGUGGCGCGAAAGCUAGGGGAGCAAACGGG
rnacentral:rRNA from 1 species